GAUGAACGCUGGCGGCGUGCCUAAUACAUGCAAGUCGAGCGAACAGACGAGGAGCUUGCUCCUCUGACGUUAGCGGCGGACGGGUGAGUAACACGUGGAUAACCUACCUAUAAGACUGGGAUAACUUCGGGAAACCGGAGCUAAUACCGGAUAAUAUAUUGAACCGCAUGGUUCAAUAGUGAAAGACGGUUUUGCUGUCACUUAUAGAUGGAUCCGCGCCGCAUUAGCUAGUUGGUAAGGUAACGGCUUACCAAGGCAACGAUGCGUAGCCGACCUGAGAGGGGGACCGGCCACACUGGACUUGAGACACGGUCAAGACUCCUACGGGAGGCAGCAGUAGGGAAUCUUCCGCAAGGGGCGAAAGCCUGACGGAGCAACGCCGCGUGAGUGAUGAAGGUCUUCGGAUCGUAAAACUCUGUUAUUAGGGAAGAACAAAUGUGUAAGUAACUAUGCACGUCUUGACGGUACCUAAUCAGAAAGCCACGGCUAACUACGU
rnacentral:rRNA from 1 species